rnacentral:rRNA from 1 species
CCUACGGGAGGCAGCAGUGGGGAAUAUUGCACAAUGGGGGAAACCCUGAUGCAGCAACGCCGCGUGAGUGAUGACGGAUCUCGGGUUGUAAAGCUCUGUCUACAGGGACGAUAAUGUAGGUACCUGAGGAGGAAGGCAUGGAUAACUUCGUGCCAGAAGCCGUGGUAAUACGUAGGUGGCGAGCGUUGUCCGGAUUUACUGGGCGUAAAGGGAGCGUAGGCGGUCUUUUAAGUGAGAUGUGAAAUACUCGGGCUCAACUUGAGUGCUGCAUUUCAAACUGUAAGUCUAGAGUGCAGGAGAGGAGAAUGGAAUUCCUAGUGUAGCGGUGAAAUGCAUAGAGAUUAGGAAGAACACCAGUGGCGAAGGCGAUUCUCUGGACUGUAACUGACGCUGAGGCUCGAAAGCGUGGGGAGCAAACAGGAUUAGAUACCCGGGUAGUC